rnacentral:snRNA from 1 species
UGGCUAACGGGACACAAUCAAAAAAAUAAAACUGGAACAAUACAGAGAAGAUUAGCAUGGCCCCUGUGCAGAAUAGAAGGAGAAAUGAAGACUUUC